rnacentral:misc_RNA from 1 species
GCCCCCCUUUUUUUCAAAGCCCUUUUGGCUGCUCAUUGGGGCCUGACGCCAAGGGAAGCGGGCUCACUCGUGGCGCAUCGGUGCUCUUGCCUCCCUCUUGUUGAGCAGCAAAGGAAAGAUCCACAGCACGAAUCCAAACACAUAGACAACACACACAUAGACACUGCUAAUACUUUAGACCGCCACCAUCCUGCUCUCCAGCGGCUUGGACGAGGCCGCGUAUGCAUACAUCGGCCCACCGUUUCUUGUCGCACCUGUGUGUACACACACACACACACACACACACACACACACACACACACAGAGCAGGAGAGUCAAAGAGAGGGAGCUCGAGGGCACGCUGUGGCGCGGUGCCGUAUAUACGUGUAUUUACAUAUAUUUGGUUUUCUGUGCCUGUGCGUUCUCUCUCUUGCCCUGAUACUCCUCCUUGUCCUUGCGGCGUUGAGCGAGGGCGCUGAGGGAAGGGGGUCGAAAGAGAGACGGGCCGGGCGCUGGGAGCACAGAUACACUGCGCUGGUCAUAGACAAACCCACACGCUCUCUUCUCCUUUUGGGCUAGGAGAGACCGUCGAGUUUACGGAAAAAGAAAGCGUCAAGGAGGUGCAUUUCGCUGGCGUAGCUCCAACUGCUUGCAGAAUGAGCUGUGCAGCAGACAACAAUGGCAGUGGAGUGGGCGCAGGAGCAGCUCUGCCGGCGGCUGGCGUGUCCGCUCCUCUUGAACGCAGCGCCUCCGCUGCUUCGCACACGUCCAUUGCCUCGCUGCAGCAGAGCUUCUUUGAUCCGCAACCGCGUCGCACUCCUCUCCCAUAUCAGCGGGCCGACAGCGUCGUUUCCGCGUUGUCGGUGACAGCGAAAGCGUCGCAGCGAGCGACUCCUUCGCUUCAGUCUCCCGCCAGUCACGCACCGCCUCGGCCUUUGUGCCGGCCCGGCAAAGAUUUUUUCGAAGAGGAAGGUGAGGGCGAGGGCGAGGGCGAGGGCGAGGGCGAGGGCGAGGGCGAGGGAGGGCAAGAGUUAGCACUGCCCUCCUUCUCGCGGCAACGAUGGUGCAAGCGGGACGCUUCCGCUGCACCACUGCCUAACGAUGCGGGGCAUCAUCAUCGAGUCCCGGAUCCGGAGUCGGUGUAUCCGGCCGCCGCACCCGCGAGUAAGGGUGAUGCCACGCAGGAGCUUGGUGCAGUCGGUGCCAUAACGUGUUGCAUGGCAACGCCAUCCCCUUCAAUUCGUUCUCCGCUGCCCAGUUUACCGGCAGCGCCGACCGGUACCACAGACGAGGAGAGGUGGGGGCAGAGGAUCGACGUGGGCUCUGAGCGCCACCUGCAGUCAGUACCGCCUCUCGCGGCACCUUCAUCCACAACGCUGCCAGCCAGCACUGCUGCACCACCGUUCUUGGAGCGAUACGCCGCCAGUACCAACGCGUACCUGCGGGCGGCUGCUUUGGAGCUCGCGGAGCUGGAGCCUCCAGAGGCCCAAAGAAUGGCUGGAGAGAUCUCGGAACGGGGGCCAAAGUCCACUGCUGCACUGCUUCGCAACCCCCAAGGUGCUCCUCUCGUGCGAGCGGCGGCGACGCACGCACCGCCGAAGCUGAUGCGUCCUGCUUCCACCGCCGCCCAACAGCGACCUACGUCAGGCUUUUCUCCAGUGGGCGGCUCAUCGUUGCCAGCCACUGCCUCCUCUUCCGUAUCCUUUGCACACACAGCAACCUCGACGCCGCCCAUUCGUGGCAUUCCCCUCUUCACCAAGACUCAGCGCCCUGCUGGCUGGGCGUCGGUCUCGCCGCUCUCUUCUGCGUCGUCGCUGCGCCUGUCCUUGGAAGAGUACGGCCGCGCGCAGCUGCAGGACGAAGCGGUUCGAUGGUAUCACCGCUGUAGCGAGCUGGAGCAGCAGCUGACCAAUAUGCAAGACGCCUUCAAUCGACAGUCGAGGCUGCUGGCUGCACAGUGGCGGGCCGACGGCAGUAGCGGCGUGUGUGCGAAGUCGAGCGCUGAUGUCACGCGCGCCUCUUCAGUCAAGGCAUCGUCGGCAGCAGCCACUGCGAGAUCACCCAGCGGGCGGGAUGCCACUCUCACAAGUCGGUCGCCCGACACCCUGCUCCGUGCGUACGCAUACGCCGAGACCGAGGACGGGUACUACGCAGGGCAGACGGAGAGGCCAUUGCAGCGAGUUGGUUCAGAGGACUUUCAGCACUGCCCGUCGGAGGGCAGAAAGCGAAUGCGCGUGGAUGAUAGGGCACCAUCUCGCGGGCCGGUGCUGGGUCAGAUGGCCGAGGGCGAGAUGCAGUGUCGAGUUCCCAAGGCGUAUCCAGUCACCGCGGAGGACGAGGAUGCUGUUCAGGAUCUCCCGAAACACGACUUUGGCUCGCAGGUGCACCGUGGGCCCAGGGGGGCAGAUGGCACUGCAGCCUCGUCGUCACCGCCGCUGUCGCGGGUUUCUGUGGGGCUGCAGACCGACGGCUUGGCCUCCGGCAACGCAUCGUUCGCUCGUGAGACUCGUGGCAUCCCUGUUGAAGGUCUUCUUUCGGCUUUUACUGAGGCCACGAGAGAGGACCCCUCGUGCCUCCCAUCUACACCGGGGCCGUCGGUGAUAAUGUCGAAGCAGUAUGUGGCGGCAAUGGAGGAGAUUGAGAUGCUGCGCGCGCGCGUGGACGUGGCGGAGCGGAAGUCGGCGGAGCUGCACGAAAUGUGCGCUGCCCAUGAGCUCCGCUGCGAUGAAUUGGAGACGCAGCUGCUUGGCAAAGAGGAACAGCUGCUGCGCUCUGAGCAGCGGCCGGCCACGCCGGCCGAGGCUGCGGCGAAGGCGUUGCUUUCAGAACUCAACCCCCUGAUAGCACAGCUGCAGGAUCUGCUGACUCUGGUGCAUCCAGAUAGCCAAGGCGCACCGCGCCAACUAGGUGCCCUCGCGGCUGAAGCCGCGGGCACGGUGCAAGCGGCAGCCACUGGCAACCUCUUCAGCGCUACUUUUGAGGACUUGGCUGCUGAGGGAGACGUCGCAGCGCGUUGCUCAACCAACUCGUGCCCUAAGUCGCCCUACGCCGAGGCGUCUACUCAUCUCGGCGUCGCGCACCUCACCUCGCUCGUCACACAGGUGCGCAGCGCGAUCGCUGACUUAUCACAGCGAUUCGCGGCGCUGCAAGCGGAGCUGGAUGUCGUGCGAGCAGACCGCAACGAGUUGAUAGGAGAGCAGAGCGAACAAGUGCGUUUGCUUCAGGAGCAGCUGCUCAAGAAGGACACAGCGCAGUGGAGACUGCUGGAGGACUUGCACCGGGCUCAGGAGCAGCUGGCUGUCGCAAGGGCACAGACACCAGUGGCGCCAGCGGACGGUGAGAUGGGCAGCAGCGAGCCCACCGCAUCACGGCAUCCGCAGAAGCUAGGAGGACACAGCGAGGAAGAUGCGACUGCGACGGCUUCCGGCAGCGCAGCCCAGCUGAGCUCUUUCCCCGUCUGUGAGGCGGUGGCAGACGCGACGCAAAGGUUGUCACCGCAGCAAGCGAACUCUGCUACACAUCCCACCCAAUCCGCAGACACGAGUGCGGCAGAGGUGGCAGCCCUACAAGAGCAGCUGGCGCAAGUGCGGGCCGCCGCUGCAGCCGGGCAGGAGGCACAGCGUCGCGUGUUAUCGGAGCGGCUGGAACAGGCCGAGUUGCAGCUGAAGGAAGCGCGGCUGCGUGCUGAGGACGAGUACGAUCGCAUGUCGGGCACCAUAGAAGCACUGACGCGGGAGCUGGCCGACACCAAGGAGGCGCUGCGAGUAAAGGAGAUGUCACUGCGGAUCGCGUUGCGCGAGUCGUUCUCUCCACCGCUGCUAAUCACUGCCCAAGGUGACAAGGCGAUGAGCGAUAACGUAGUUGCCGGUGCACCUGUCGCGGAAAGUCUGAUACAGGCUGCGGCAUCCUCGACUUUGCCGUCGUCGAUGCAGCUCCUGCGCACGAUGUCGCGUGGGUCUGCUGCUUCGUCUUCGUCGCCAAGGCCGGACCGCGAGAACACACGCACGAGUAUGUCGCCGUCGCCGCCCAUUCCUCCCCACCUCCAGAGCGCAGCCGGCAUGACAAAGGCGAGGGAUGUGGCAGACACGGACAAGGGCGACGGCUUGCUAGGGUUCGCUUCGGGAAAGAAGAGAAAGGCGCACCGGCGCAUCGAGGAUGACGGGACCCUGCGCACCCUACCCUCAGCCAUCGUGGUCAAUGGCCAGGAUAGUGAGGAGGGGCUCGGCCACACCGGCCAGCUUUUCUUUUCGUCCGCGGCGGCUCUCACCACGGCCAUCACGGCGACGGCGACGACGACAUCAUCAUCGCGAGAAAAAUCAUCUCGAGGCCUGACAAUGUCCACGGGUGGAGGCAGCCAAGGCGCCUCCUCGCUGCCUCACGGGUGCGGUGAUGGAAGCGCAGCGAUGCUGGAGCACGUCAGCAUAGCAGAGGAAGAAGCGCCACAGGAAGAGAUGCCGACGCCUCUGCGGCAGCGUUCUGGGGCUGCUGCGCCCCUUUUCACGCAAGAAGAGGAGGCUGCGACAGUCGCAUUCGAGGCACACCGCACCAUCUCCUCGUCACCGCCGCAGCUGCCGCAGAGGAAGAGCGCGCCCGCCCUUCUUGCGGACACCGCUGCUAAAGAGGAGCUGCCGCUGCCGCCACCACUGCGCAGCCCGCUUUUCGGCACCGCGACGUUGUCAGGGCCGCCUUCGCCCGUGCAGCAGCAGCGCACACCCUCACCGCACCGCCAUGAGACGACAUAUGGGGCUCGUCUUGGCAUCUAUGCAUCCGCGUCACAGGGGCGAGCGGAACAGUACGGGCCGCAUGACAGAUUCUCUGAGCUCUCCGCGCAGCCGCUAUCACCAGAGGAGAAGCUGCGCAAGUUUCUGUCGACGCUCUCCGCUUCCCCUUCGCCCCUUGAGGCGAUGAUGAAGGAGAGCGGACGCUCAUUGCUGACAGGCCAGACUACACGAACGCGGCGACCGACUCUGCACAACAGCAGUGAUGCGAUCGCCGCGUCCAGCGAUGCCAUUCCGAGCGACGUCAUGGUCGCUGCUCUGUCCACCGCCGGCACCAGGUCUGUGCCGAUGAUGGACCGCGACGAGACGACCCCGGGUCGAAGGCCGCUCUCGCUCUACUCUGCAAGUGCAUCGCCGUCCUCGGCUUCCAGAUCGACUGCAUCACGGCCGUCGCCGACACUCCUGUCCAGCUCUCCGCACUCCGCCGAGGUGGCGGCACGCCACGUGCAGGCGUCGCUUUGGCGUCACCGAGAGGCGUGGCAGCAGCAGGAGCUCAUUCUGCACGCGCUGCAGAAAUCCCCUUCCCGGUGAGAGAGGUUGCGCGCAUCCACGGCGCUCUGUGCGACGCUCUGCCUGUGUGUCUACCAGCUAGCAAUGAGCUUCGCGAAGAGGGGAUGAGGGGAGGGGUAAGUAAUGCGUGAGAGCGUGAGACAGAGGCAGGCCACCGUUGAUAGCGAGCGAACGAAGAGGGGCCCGCGCGUUCCUAUCUACGAGUGUGCAUCCGCACUCGGCGUCCUAUGACCCUUCUGAUGGGCACAUACCGAUAACG